UACGUAGGGGGCAAGCGUUGUCCGGAAUUAUUGGGGGUAAAGAGUGUGUAGGCGGCAAGAUAAGUUGGAUGUGAAAUCUCGAGGCUCAACUUCGAGCUGUCGGUGGAAACUAUCUGGCUAGAGUCCGGAAGAGGAGAAUGGAAUUCCUGGUGUAGCGGUGAAAUGCGCAGAUAUCAGGAAGAACACCAAUGGCGAAGGCAGCUCUCUGGGACGGUACUGACGCUGAGACGCGAAAGCGUGGGGAGCGAACAGG
rnacentral:rRNA from 1 species